UACAGAGGGGGCAAGCGUUAUUCGGAAUUAUUGGGCGUAAAGGGCGCGUAGGCGGUUUGACAAGUCUGAUGUGAAAUCUCUGGGCUCAACCCAGAGUCUGCAUUAGAAACUGUCGGGCUUGAGUAUGGGAGAGGUGAGUGGAAUUUCCGGUGUAGCGGUGAAAUGCGUAGAUAUCGGAAGGAACACCUGUGGCGAAAGCGGCUCACUGGACCAUAACUGACGCUGAGGCGCGAAAGCUAGGGGAGCAAACAGG
rnacentral:rRNA from 1 species